rnacentral:lncRNA from 1 species
AGGUGAUGCUGAUUUCCAGGAAUGAAUUUGGGAGUAUUGCUUCCCUUUCAAUUUCAUUGAAGAGUUUAAACACUAGUGGCAAUAGUUACUCUCUAAAUGUCUUGUAGAAUUCAGCAGUGAUGGCUUCAGAGCCAGGGCUUGUCUUAGUUGGUAAGUUUUAAAUCAUUGGUUGAUAUUGGGUUAAUCUCAUUGAUUGAUAUUGGGUUGUUUAGAAUUUUUAGGUCUUCUUCGUUCAACUUUGGUAAUUCAUAUGUAUCUAGGAAUCUGUCCAUUUCUUCUGUGUUUUCCAUCUUAUUGGCGCAUAGGUUCUUGAAGUAUGUAUUAAUGAUCAUGUGGAUUUCUGCUGGGUCUGUUGUAAUUUCACCCUUUUCAUUUGUAAUUGCAUGGAUUUGGGCCUUUUCUUUCCUUUUUCUGAUAAGGUUGGCUAAGGGUUUGUCAAUUUUGUUGAUUCUUUUGAAGAACCAACUCUUGGCUUCAUUGAUUUUUUGUAUUGUUCUCUUAGUCUCCAUUGCAUUGAUUUCUCCUCUGAUCUUUAUAAUUUCCUCCCUUGUAUGAGCUUUGGGGUUGUCCUGCUCUUCUUUUUCUAGAAGCUUGAGGUGCAGCAUCAGGUUGUUUAAUUGGGCUCGUUCUGUUUUCCUAAUAUGUGCAUUAACUGCUAUGAAUUUCCCUUGUAAGACUGCUUUCAUUGUGUCCUAUAGAUUCUGAUAUGUUGUAUUGUCAUUGUCAUUUAAUUGAAGGAACUGUCUGAUUUCUUCUUUAAUUUCCUCUGUGAUCCGUUGGUUAUUCAGAAGUUUGUUUUUCAAUUUCCAUGUGUUUAUGAAAUUUUUUGAGUUUCUUUUGCUGUUGAUCUCCAAUUUCAUGGCACUAUGGUCUGGUAAUAUACAGGGGAUAACUUCAAUUCCUUUGCACUUACUUAAACAUGUUCUUUGUGUGAGUAUGUGGUCUGUUUUGGAGAAUGACCCAUGUGUAACUGAGAAGAAUGUGUAUUCUGAAUUUGUGGGGUGGAAGACUCUGUAAACAUCUGUUAUGUUCAUUUGUUCAAGAGUUUGAUUGAGUUCCAGUAUUUCAUUACUUAUUUUUUGUCUAGUUGGUCUAUCUAUUUGUGACUGUGGGGUGUUCAGAUCCCCCACUACAAUUGUAUUAGUGCCUAUAUGACUUUUCAUGUCCAUUAGUAUUUGUUUUAUAUAGUUGGGUGCACUAGUGUUUGGUGCAUAGAUAUUUAUGAUUGUCAUCUCUUCCUCUUGGAUUGUUCCAUUUAUAAGGAUGUAGUGCCCUUCUUUGUCUCUCUUAAUCAGUGUUGGUUUGAAAUCUACUUGAUCUGCCAAGAGGAUAGCUACUUCUGCUUUUUUUUUUGGUUCCUGUCACAUGGAGAAUUGUUUCCCAGCCUUUCACUUUCAGUCUAUGAGUUUCCUUUUGAAUUAAGUGUGUUUCUUGUAUGCAGCAUAUUGUUGGAUUUUGCUUCUUGAUCCAUUCUGCCAGUCUAUUUCUUUUGAUUGGUGAAUUGAGACCAUUAACAUUGAUGGUUAUAACUGAAACGUAUUGACUUGUCAUUGCCAUGACUUUUUCUUUUUGUUGGGUUCUCCCCCUUUACAUUGAAUUUCUUGUCAUGCCAGAUGGGUUCAUUCUGCUUUGCUUCCUGGGGUUAUGAUCCUCAAUGUCUGUUCCUAAGAUAUUGUGUAAAAUUCUUUGGAGUGUUGGUUUGGUAUUCAUUAAGUUCCUAAGGUGCUCUUUGUCAUGAAAGAAUCUUAUUUCUCCAUCCAUUUUGAAAGCUAGUUUUGCAGGGUACAUCAAUCUGGUUUGGGGGCUGUUUUCUUUUAGGGCUUGGAAUAUGUCACUCCAAGCUCUUCUUGCCUUGAUGGAUUGUGUUGAGAAGUCUUCUGUGAUUCUAAUGGACUUUCCUUUGUAUGUGAUUUGUUUCUUUUCUCUGACUGCUUGUAGAACUUUGUUCUUCUAUUGAGUUUCCCGGAAUCUUAACAAUUAUAUGCUGAUGUAUAUAUAUAUAUUUUUUUGAUCAAGGCUAUUUGGAGUCCUAUAUGCCUCACUUAUCUGUAUGUCAAGUUCCUUUCCCCUGCUUGGGAAUUUUUCUGCCAUUACUUCUCGGAAGUUUUUUUUAUGUCAUCUGCACUCUUUUCUAUUUCUUUAUUGUCUCCAGUCAGUCUUAUGUUAUUCUUCUUUGCAUCAUCUAACAGCUGCCGGAUUGAUUUCUCGUGUUCCCUUAUAAUUUUGAAACAAUUUUUCUUUUCCUGGUCAUUAAUUGUGAUCUUAUCUUCUAUAUCUGAAAUUCUGUCCUCACAUUGGCUCAUUCUACUGUGUAGACUUUCAAUGGAGUUUUUCAUGUCCUGGAAAUCUAUUUGCAUCUGUUUUGUGGAUUCCAUUUGUUUCCUAUGUUGGGCGCCCAUCAUAUUCCUGAGCUCCUCUCUAGAUUUAUUAAUCCUGUCUUGCAGUAGGAGCACAAUUUCUUCUGUUAUCUGAGAAAUUAUUUCUCAUUUCAUUUUUUCCAUAUCCCCUUUUGUUGCCCAUUCAGGGCAUCCAGGUGGUUGAGUAUCAGAGUGUUCCAUCUCAUUUCCCUUUGGGGUUGCUGUAGGUGAUCUGGAAGUCUGUUUUUGAGACUUAUUUAUGUGUUUUCUCAUUUCGACAGGGGGGGCAGGGGGGCUGCUGUUGGCAUCCACCCCAGUCACCUCCUCUGAGCUGGAAGAGGUGGGAUAGGGGCCGGAAGCGGUGGUAGGGAUGGCGGCCCAUAAGCCCCUUACUCUGGGCCUGGAGUGGCAGGAUGUUUGGCGGCCUGGAAGCCCCUACCUCUGGGCCAGGAGCAGUGGGACGGAUGGCAGCCCAAAAGCCCUUUUCUCUGGGCUGGGUGUGGCAGGAGGGAUGGUGGAUGGGCAACACCUUCCUCUGGACAAGGAGCAAUGGGACAGUGGGUCAGAAGCCCCUACCUCUGGGCAGCAAUUCUUUAAAUGUUGAGAAAUUGAUUAGCUCCAGUACAGUGCUCUGGUGGUCUGGUGUCCUGUGUGUCUUUGUAGUGUUAAACCAGGUGGCUGUAUGGAGAAGAGGCCAAAGAAGCAGGCGGGGUUCCAGUGGAUUGCUGCCAGGGAUCCAGUGUUUUUAGCAUGACUGGUGACCUUGGGGACAUGUCCGCAGACCUGCCUGUCUGCAGCGGGCUGAUUUGGUGUUUUCAGCGUGACUGGAGACCUUGGGUGUCAAUUUUAUUUAAUCUUUCUUUCUUUUUUUUUCAGUGCUGGGGAUCGAACUCAGGUCCUUGAGCUUGUGAGGCAGGCAGUGGAACCACUGAGCUAAAUCCCUGGCCCUAUUUAAUCUUUCAAAGAACCAACUGUUUGAUUCAUUGAUUCUUUGUGUUUUACUUUUAGUCUUUAUUGGAUUAAUUUCUGCCCUGAUUUUUAUAAUUUCCUCCCUCACAUGAGCUUUGGGCUUUAUUUGCUCUUCUUUUUCUAGAAACUCGAGGUUCAACAUUAGGUAUUUGAGCCCACUGUUUUCCUGAUAUGAGUAUUCACCACUAUAUUUUUCCCUUGUAGGACUGCUUUCAUUGCAUCCCAUAAGUUCUGGUAUUUUGCAUUGUCAUUAUCGUUAAUUGUAGAAACUGUCUGAUUUCUUCUUUAAUUUCACCUGUGACCCAUUGGCUUUUUCAGGAGGGUGUUAUUUAAUUUAAAUCUGUUUAUGAAGUUCUUGUGGUUUGUUUUGCCAUUGAUUUCCAAUUUCAUUUCACUAUAGUCUGAUAAUAUGCAUGAGAUAAUUUCAAUUCCUUUGCAUUUACUUAAGCAUGUUCUGUUCACUAGUGUGUUGUCUAUUUUGGAGAACGUAUCCUGUGUAGCUGACAAGAAGUGUAUUCUGAUGUUGUGGAAUGGAACACUCUGUAGCCAUCUACUAGAUCCUUUUGUUCAAAAGUUUGGUUCUGUUCCAAUAUUUCUUUGUUCAUUUUUUAUCUUGUUGACCUGUUUGUGACAGUGGGGUACUGAGGUCCCCUAGUAUAACUGUAUUAGUACUUAUAUGAUUUUUCAUGUCUGUUAAUAUUUGUUUUAUAUCGUUGAGUGCACUGAUAAUUUGUGCACACAUGUUUAGGAUUGUUAUCUCUUCCUUAUGGAUUGUUCCCUUUACCAGGAUGUAGUGACCUUCUUUGUCUCUCUUAAUUAGUCUUGGCUUGACAUCCACUUUAUCUGCAAAUAGAAUAGCUACCCCUGCUUUUUUCCUGGUUCCUGUCAUAUCGAAUAUUGUUUUCCAUCCUUUGACUUUCAGUCUAUGAAUUUGUUUCUGAAUUAAAUGUGUUUCUUGCAUGCAGCAUAUUGUUGGAGCUUGCUUCUUGAACCAGCCUCCAAUUCUGUUUCUUUUGAUUGGGGAAUUGCGAUCAUUAACAUUGGUAGUUAUAACUGAUAUGUAUUGUCUUAUCUCUGUCAUGUCAUUUUCCUCUUGUUGGUUUCCUUCUUUCCUUUUCUCCUUAAUUUCUUGCCUUGCCUGGGAUUAAUUCUGUUGAAAUUCAUGGAGUUGUAAUCCUUGUUUUCUCUUUCUAGAAUAUCCUUCAGAACACUUUGUAGUGCUGGUUUGGUGUUCAUGAAUUUCUCCAGAUGUUCUUUGUCAUGGAAAUAUCUUAUUUCUCCAUCAAGUUUAAAAGAUAAUUUUGCAGGGUACCUUGAGGUUGUUUUCUUUUAGGGCUUGAAACUCCUUCUAAACUCUCCUUGACUUGAGAGUUUGUAUGAGAAAUCUGCUGUAAUUUAGCUAUGCUUUCUUUUAUAGGUGAUUUGUUUGUGUUCUUUAAUAGCUUUUAAUAUUCUGUCCAUAUGUUGAAUUUCUGGAAUCUUGACUAUUAUAUGCCUUGGAGAAGAUUUUUUUUAAAAAAUCAUGGCUAAUUGGAAUCCUAUGUGCCUCACUUAUCUUUAUGUGAAAUUCCAUUCCCUGUUUGGGAAGUUUUCUGCCAUUACUUCUGAAAACAGGUUUUUUAUGUCAUUUGUGCUAUCUCAUGCUUUUUCAUGGACUCCGAUCAAUCUUGUUAUUCUUUCUUUUUUCUUUUGCAUUAUCUAGCAGGUGUUGGAUAAAUUUCUCAUAGUCCCUUGCUAUUUUUAAGAAAUCUCUCUUUUCAUGAUUGCUAACUGCAAUCUAGUCUUCUAUAUCUGAUAUUCUGUCCUCAUACUGGCUCAUUCUGCUGUGUAUACUUUCAAUGGAGUUUUUGAUCCUGGAUAUGUUUGAAUCUGUUUCAUGUCUUCCAUUUCUUUCCUAUGCUGGGAAUUCAUGGUUUCCAUCAUGUUCCUGAGCUUCUCUACUUUUAAAAAAAAUCUGUGUCUGCUGUAAAGUCACUAAGCAUAUCUUUCAUUCUUGUCACUAUCUUCAUAGUUAUGUGGGAAAUUAUUUCUGCUUUAAUUUUUUUUCUAGAGCCUCAUUCAUCUUCUGUGCUACUUCUGCUGUUACCACUUCAGAGAAUCUAGGUGAGUGGCUUUUGGAUAGCUUCACCUCAUUUACCCCAGGAUUUGCCUUUGGUGAGCUCAAAGUCUGUGGGGGUUGUAUUUUGUUUAAGUGUCUUCUUGUUUUCUUUAAGUUUCAUUUCUGGGUUGAUGCUUUUAAAUUGCUUAUGGUGAGUAGCUUUAUUGCCAGUAUUCAGAACUCUUAGGAAAUGACUACUUCUCAGACAUGUCUUCCAGGUGUAGCUGGCUUUUUGGUUUUGAGUCUGUUACAAGGUCCUUCCUCUUCAAUUCAUUGAGGAUGAUAAGUUUCUGCCUACUUGGCCCACCUGCCAGUUCUUUGGCAUUGGCCUAUAGAUUUUAUUUUUUAAGAUCCUUAGGCAAUCUCAGUCUUGGUAUACCAUGAGGGACAACUGAUUAGCACAUUUCUGCCACCUUGGCUAAAGUAGAACAAUCAGCAAUAAUGACAACAUCAAAUACAGCCUGGAAAAUGACAAACUGUGGUAACUAUUAAUUUGUUACCUUAACCAUAUGAACAAGAUUUGUGGUUCUAUAGUGAAAUCUAGAAUGAAUCUGAAAAUUGUAUGCAAUAAAUAAGCCCUUAAUAUGGCAAUUGUACCCUUAGGGGAGAAGGAUUAGAAGGGGUUAGGGGUAAAAACUGGAAUUAGAAGAAGAGGAAGAUAUGAUAAGCAAGGCUGGAGGACAAACUUUAGUAAACUGGUGAGGAAGACAUGUGAAGAAGAGAAAAGAAAAAAAUAAAAACAAGAGCAGAACAGAACAACAACAAAAAACUAUAAACUGUGAUCAAACAAUUAAGAAAAAACAAUAUAAAACAAGAACGAGAAAGGAGAAAAAAAGAAAGAAAAAAGAAAAGGAAAAAGAAAAAACAUGAAAACAAAAAAAAGAUCCAAAAACAACAAAUUCAAGGUGUGUCUCUGUUGUCACUAGUAGGCAGCACAGGUAAACAGAGUCCAGAGUCAAACUGAUUAAUCCCAGCAAAUCAGCCACAGAAUCAGAGUGGGACAUUGCUUAUCCCAGCCAGCCUGCCCCUUUAGUUCUUCUGAAGUUCAGGCUGGUUUCUGGCUAUAAGGCUGGAACUGGAUUCCUUGAGCCUAUGAGUCUAUGUGUCACCUGCCAGCUUGAAUUCUGCUCCUUGACCUCCUGCUGACUUGAACUCAGCACCUGCACUGAGGUACCUGAAGCUGCUAGAUGGAGCUGGCCUGCAGCUGUUCUGAGUUCCAAGCUUAGUUGGUUCCUCUUCAAGAUGGCUACUGGUCAAUUGCCCUCUCCUGGGUGACAUCUAAACUGGGAUAACUCACCAGCCACUGCAGUCCACUGUGUCCACAGCUCUGUUCCACUCGUAUAUUUCUCAGUGGGUUGCCAGUAGUCACCAUGAGUCUGCAAGUUUGGUCUACAAUAAAGUCUGGGCUCGGGGAGAAAGUACUGCUUGCUACCUUCCUCCUCUUUGUUAAAGUCCCUCUCUUUGCUUUCCCUGUGGACUUCAGUUUUUGCCUCAGAUCCUUCCUGUGUCCUAGGGACCCACUUUCCACUUUCUUGUCCUCCUUGUACCAUUAUAUUCCAGUGUCAGGACACUAAAUCUUGGAGAGGUUCUUUCUCUGGUCACCACCCUGCCAUCUUCACAGAAGUAUAUAAAGGAAAUAUUAUAACUCCCAACCUGCUAGAUGUCUGAACACUGAGUUCAUAUUCUCUGAAAUCAAAGAAUGAAGCCUAGGAACACUGGAGGUUAAGAGUGGGAAGAAUUUAUUAAGAGAAAGAUAGCUUCUGUCUAAGAGAUACAGAAGGGGGCCAGAAAGUGCGUUGCCUGUGGACCAUGCUUCUUGAGGGAGUUUUAUAUAAAAAAAAAACCAUGAUGUGAGGUAGGUAUAAGGUAGGACCAAACCAUAGUGAACUGGUAAGGUUACAAGUAUAGUUGCUUAGGUAAUAUUGAUUAAAUGGGGAUCAAAUGGGGAAGCAAGUCAUGUAGCAAGCAUACAUGGACCAAAUAAGGAUUUUGCCAGGAAGGAGUGGGUUAAGUUCUUGGUCCCCCACCUAAGUGAGUGAUGCCUAUUUAGAAUAUCAAUCACUCCUGUUCAUCCUUAGGGAAAGUAUGUGGGUAUACUCAAUUAUCUUUGUCCUUAAGCCUGGCCUUUAAGUAAUGCAUGUCCAGCCACAAUUGUCUUCUACACUAACUUCUUCGAGGGCCUAUCCCUGUCUGACUGCCUAUAAUAUUUCUAACUAACUUAGCUGUCUACAAUACUUGUACAAUUUCUUCUUUCAUCCAGUCUGUGCAUAAAAGAUCAGAGCUAGAGAUUCCUGGUUGAUAGCUGUAUGCUUUCUGCUUCUAACUACUCCUGUUGAAAGCUUUGUGAUGGUUCUACUGGAGGAAACUUUCUGUCUGAAAUUCCACAGAGCAGUCACCCAACCCCAAGACUAAACAGGUCCAGAGAAUGCCAAGUUGCUUCACAAAGGCUUCCUCACCCUGGGCUUUUUGCCUGGCUGGUUCACUGCCUGAUAAGGCAGAAGGGAAUGAAUGACUGGAGAUGGAGGCCUUGUUGAGGGCUCCAUAACACAAAGACCCUCCUCAGCUUUGGUCUUGCAUCCAUUGUUCUCUCACACUCUGCUCACAGCCCUUGAGGAUACCAUUACGAGAGGAAAAUGCCACUCAACAGUGCUAAAUAUAAGAAGGGAAACAAAAACCUAGCCUGCCAGUGGGAAGAUGGGAGGACUAGUAUCAGUGUUUCCCAUGCCCUUUACUUCUGUAAGGCUUCCCUCACUUCUCACAGUGACCAGGAAAACCUGAAUUGUGAGCAUUUUUAUAUUUUCUUUCUCAAAUAGAGAAGUCAGAGGUUUUAAUAUUGCAUGAAAAAUGGUGGAAUUGCUUUCUUGUAAGCAUCCCCUGACAGAAAGUCUAAUUUCAUGGAACCCUGAAGAUUUUAGCUCUCAAUAUCUUUGAGCUAAUCUCGUAUUUUCUGGUACAGACUCACAUGGUCUGGGGAAGCCAUAGGUCUCACCCAAAUCACCUGGGUGAGGAAUUGCUAGGAAGAUGGGUCAGGUAGGUACUAGGCAGGAGUCAGGCCACUGAGUCUUCUGGACAUCAAAUGUCACACACUUAUAAAUUAUGUUUCUAGGAAUUUUACAAAGAAGGGAUGGACAAUAAUUCCUAAAAUAUAGGCUCUGUGAAAUAUGUGGUGGCCCUGAGGGAGUACCUAGUAGCUGUGAAGGAAAGCCCAGGAAAGGAACACUUAGAGGGGCCCCUACCCAACCCAAGACUUUGCCCUCAUUUCAGAGGGCGUGGUUACAGCCCACUAAAUGGCAGAGGAACUCCUGGGUCCCUGGACCCUCUAGUCUGAAAGGACAGGGCUGCCAGGCUCUGAGGAC